AACUAACGCUGGCGGCGUGCCUAACACAUGCAAGUCGUACGAGAAAGUCGGCUUCGGCCGAUAAGUAAAGUGGCGCACGGGUGAGUAACGCGUGGGUAAUCUGCCCCCCGGUCAGGAAUAACCCGCCGAAAGGCGGGCUAAUACCCGAUAACACUGACGCUCUGCGGAGUGUCUUUCAAAGAAGGCCUCUGUUUACAAGCUUUCACCGGAGGAUGAGCCCGCGUACCAUUAGCUAGUUGGCAGGGUAAUGGCCUACCAAGGCAACGAUGGUUAGCUGGUCUGAGAGGAUGACCAGCCAGACUGGAACUGAGACACGGUCCAGACUCCUACGGGAGGUAGCAGUGAGGAAUCUUGCGCAAUGGGGGAAACCCUGACGCAGCAACGCCGCGUGAGUGAGGAAGGCUUUCGGGUCGUAAAGCUCUGUCGGAUGGGAAGAAAUGGUUGGAGGUUAAUACCCUUCAUCCUUGACGGUACCAUCAGAGGAAGCACCGGCUAACUCCGUGCCAGCCGCCGCCGUAAUAC
rnacentral:rRNA from 1 species